rnacentral:rRNA from 1 species
ACGUACACUCCUACGGGAGGCAGCAGUGGGGAAUAUUGGACAAUGGGCGCAAGCCUGAUCCAGCCAUGCCGCGUGAGUGAUGAAGGCCCUAGGGUUGUAAAGCUCUUUCACCGGUGAAGAUAAUGACGGUAACCGGAGAAGAAGCCCCGGCUAACUUCGUGCCAGCAGCUGCGGUAAUACGAAGGGGGCUAGCGUUGUUCGGAUUUACUGGGCGUAAAGCGCACGUAGGCGGACUAUUAAGUCAGGGGUGAAAUCCCGGGGCUCAACCCCGGAACUGCCUUUGAUACUGGUAGUCUUGAGUUCGAGAGAGGUGAGUGGAAUUCCGAGUGUAGAGGUGAAAUUCGUAGAUAUUCGGAGGAACACCAGUGGCGAAGGCGGCUCACUGGCUCGAUACUGACGCUGAGGUGCGAAAGCGUGGGGAGCAAACAGAAUUAGAAACCCCGGUAGUCCCA